rnacentral:ribozyme from 16 species
ACAAACACAUCGAAAGCACACCAAUAUGAGAGCAAAGAACAAAAGGUUGUAGGAAUCACCACCCCUGUGUGACUCUAAUAUUUCCAUUGCUUCUUCUUCGUCUUCUUGUUGUUUGUUCUUUGACUUUUUCGUGUUUGUGUCACU